GCUACAAACCGAACUAUCGUACCGCUUGCGGUAAGGAAAGUCUGGACAGCAUAGAGCAAAUGCACCGGUGAACAGCCGGGUGUUUCGAGCAAUCGGAGCAACAGAAAGUGCCACAGAAAAUAACUAUCCUGCUCACGCGGGAAAAAGGUGAAAAUGUGGGGUAAGAGCCCACGGCCGUAUGCAGUAAUGUAUACAGCGGGUAAACCUUGCAUGCUGAAAUGCCACGUAUACCGGCGCCUGAGGGCUGCUCGCCCGAUGCCGGAGGGUAGGCAGAUUGAUCCCGGGAAGUAAUUCGCGGGACAGAUAAAUGAUAGUGUAAAAACAGAAUCCGGCUUACGAGUUUGUAGCAACU
rnacentral:RNase_P_RNA from 1 species